CUCAGAUGACUUAAAUCCUUCCCAUGGGUACAUCAACACAUUAUUGAGCAAUUACAUUCUCUUGUGGCAGUCAUCUGUGGAAUAAGUAAACUCCCUCUAUUAUCCACACAAUGAUAUCAUGCACCAUAAAUGCAUGCUUGGCCUCCAUUGUGUCAACAAUCAGUUACAUUCUCAAAGGAAGAAAUGUGAAUAUAGUUCUGAAACUACACUGACUAAUAACCAGGUCAGUUUUAUUACCUGUUUCUACCUUGAGUGCCAACAUUACAUUUAAUGUAAAAGACUAACAUAAAAGGAGAAGAUAAAUGUAAUGACCUCCACGUGGGAUGGGACCUUUGAAAGGGCAAGGCCCAGCACUCUUCCCAGCCUGGAUUAUCCCAGCAUUGGAGAGAAUAUUUAUGACUGUCGAAGUGAGGCUGAGUUCCUGGAGACGGGAUAACGCAUGGCUUUAUGCUGCCAGACAGAGAGUUCCUUCUGGUGGUCACACCAAUGUUUUUUCAUACUCCCACGGACACCACAACUUUUUUGGAUAAGGAAGAAGAUGAUGGAACACAGAUGAGGGAAAGAAAUGGCCUCAGAGAACUUGGAUACAUGGGGGUAUUUUUACCCUUUGGGGUUUUUUCUUCCUGAAUUUCAAUGAGUGGCUUAUUGGAAACUUCUUUGGGUUUGAAGUGUUUUGUUCUUGUUCCACACACACAAAACUGUUUUGGGUUGUUUUGUUUGUCUUUGUUUAUAAUGCAGCUGAGAUAGGGUGACUUGAUAUUUUUAAAAUAGAAAACUGAUGCCUUCUGAGGGAAUGAGGGGGAACAGAGGAGAACUUCACUAGCUGGAAACAUGGGUCAUGCCAGGGACAAUUUGUUGCUGUGAAGAAUGUGUUAGAGAUGGGAGGAGGAUUGUGUAGAAGCUGGUACAGAGGGAAGAAUAAUGCUUGAGUGCCUAAUACACUGACUGUUCUCCAAAUGCUGGACCCUAAUUGCUCUUCAAUGGCAGUCAUGUAUCUCCUUUCAUUUAUGAUUUUUUUUUCCUCCUCUCUCUCUUUUAAGAGAAAUCAUUGAUUGAACUGUUCGAACCCUCAGCAUUAGCAAUUAUCAGGUACUGAAUGCCAAAUAGAUACCUCCUAUUUCAUACACUAUUGUCACAGUAUCUCCUAUCACUCCCUAAAAA